GCUCCAAUAGCUCAGUUGGUAGAGCGCGACACUAGUAUCUUCAUACAGUGUCAUGUCGAGGUCCUUGGUUCGAAUCCAGGUUGGAGCA